rnacentral:sRNA from 1 species
ACGUAAUCGUCUUUUUGGCAGACCAGAAUGCACCCUAUUUUAAACCCAAAGUAAAGGUAUCUUUCAAGAAUCACAGUGCAUUGAUAACAAGUGUAGUCCCUGGGGAUUAUGAUGGAGAUUCUCAAAUGGAUGUCCUUCUGACAUAUCUUCCCAAAAAUUAUGCCAAGAGUGAAUUAGGAGCUGUUAUCUUCUGGGGACAAAAUCAAACAUUAGAUACUAACAAUAUGACCAUACUCAAUAGGACUUUUCAAGAUGAGCCACUAAUUAUGGAUUUCAAUGGUGAUCUAAUUCCUGAUAUUUUUGGUAUCACAAAUGAAUCCAACCAGCCACAGAUACUAUUAGGAGGGAAUUUAUCAUGGCAUCCAGCAUUGACCACUACAAGUAAAAUGCGAAUUCCACAUUCUCAUGCAUUUAUUGAUCUGACUGAAGAUUUUACAGCAGGAAAAAUCUAUCUUAAUGAAGCUUUAGAAAUGUACUUUUAGUUCAAUAGUAUGAGACUUCCUUAAACAAUACUGACUUUGCAUUUAAGUAAGCCGCCACCAGGGCUGCUGCUACCCAUCUGCACAAGCAAAGUGAAUGAAGAAGAAAUAAGUCUUUCCUAGACAUGCAAAAGCUGAGGGAAUUCAUUACCACUGGAAUGGCCCUACAUGAAAUUCUUAAGCGAGUCCUGCAUUUGGAAGCAUAAAGACAGUAUCUACCAUCAUGAGAUCACACAAAGUAUAAAACUCACUGGUAGCUCAGACACACAAAUAAAAAAGAGAAAGGACUCAAAUGUUACCAGUAAAUGUUACCAGUACAGAAAACCACCAUAUCUCAUUGAUAAACAAUAAGAGAUGAAGAAAGGACAAAGGAUACGUAUGCAAAACAACCAGAAAACGAUUCAUAAAAUGAAAGGAAUAGGCCAGGUGCAGUGACUCACUCCUGUAAUCCCAUCAUUUUGGGAGAUUGAGGCAAGCAGAUUACUUGAGCUUAGGAGUUUGAGACCAAUCUACGCAACAUGGUGAAA